rnacentral:tRNA from 1 species
GGGACGUGGCGAAAUGGCAGACGCGCCAGACUUAGGAUCUGGUUCCUCACGGAGUAAGGGUUCAAGUCCCUUCGUCCCCA